rnacentral:rRNA from 1 species
GAGUUUGAUCUUGGCUCAGAUUGAACGCUGGCGGCAUGCCUUACACAUGCAAGUCGAACGGCAGCACGGGAGCGUGCUCCUGGUGGCGAGUGGCGAACGGGUGAGUAAUGCAUCGGAACGUAUCCUGGAGUGGGGGAUAACGUAGCGAAAGUUACGCUAAUACCGCAUAUUCUGUGAGCAGGAAAGCGGGGGACCUUCGGGCCUCGCGCUCUUGGAGCGGCCGAUGUCGGAUUAGCUAGUUGGUGAGGUAAAGGCUCACCAAGGCGACGAUCCGUAGCAGGUCUGAGAGGAUGAUCUGCCACACUGGAACUGAGACACGGUCCAGACUCCUACGGGAGGCAGCAGUGGGAAUUUUGGACAAUGGGGGCAACCCUGAUCCAGCCAUGCCGCGUGAGUGAAGAAGGCCUUCGG